UACGAAGGGGGCUAGCGUUGCUCGGAAUUACUGGGCGUAAAGCGCACGUAGGCGGUCUUUUAAGUCGGGGGUGAAAUCCUGGAGCUCAACUCCAGAACUGCCUUCGAUACUGGAAGACUCGAGUCCGGGAGAGGUGAGUGGAACUGCGAGUGUAGAGGUGAAAUUCGUAGAUAUUCGCAAGAACACCAGUGGCGAAGGCGGCUCACUGGCCCGGUACUGACGCUGAGGUGCGAAAGCGUGGGGAGCAAAUAGG
rnacentral:rRNA from 1 species